rnacentral:rRNA from 1 species
GUAAGGUAACGGCUUACCAAGGCAACGAUACGUAGCCGACCUGAGAGGGUGAUCGGCCACACUGGAACUGAGACACGGUCCAGACUCCUACGGGAGGCAGCAGUAGGGAAUCUUCCGCAAUGGGCGAAAGCCUGACGGAGCAACGCCGCGUGAGUGAUGAAGGUCUUCGGAUCGUAAAACUCUGUUAUCAGGGAAGAACAAAUGUGUAAGUAACUGUGCACUUCUUGACGUACCUGAUCAGAAACCACGCUA